rnacentral:lncRNA from 7 species
AGAUGGGGGGUGGGUGUGGGAGCAGCUGGCAAGAAGAAUGGGUGAACUUCAAGAGGAGCAAGCAGGAAGAUGUGGGAGAUGGAUACAUUGGAUUUGAAAGGAUGGCACACAGUCCCAAGCUGCCCUAUCUGAAUGUGUCAUCCCUUCCUGCCUCUCUGUGCUCUGCCACUUCCCCAUGACAUCGUGAUUGGAAUUAGAAUAAACCCAUAGAAGAGGAGAAGAGUCCUUCAGGAUGCUUAUUUUUAACUAUUAUGGCCAGCUCUUUGUGUGUUGUCUACAAAGCAAAUGCCUUGUUCAAACAUGCUCCUCCAUUGGCAAACAGGAAAAGAAAUGCAAUAAAAUAAUGCUGCUUGGGGCUGGGAGUGGGGCGCUGCUAUGGCUCCACAGAGCUGAGCUGGGGGAAAGGCAGCAAAUGAGAGAAAGCCCUCGAUGGUGGAAGAAGCUGGAAUGUCCUCUUCUCUUGUGCAGUAUGCCUCCAUCUUCUGCUCUGAUCACGGCAGGGAUUAGCUGUGAGAGAGGAGGGUUUCUUGGCUCUGCCCCAUUUCUGAAGCCCUUUGGGUAGAAGUGGUGAUUUCUGUGAGUUGAGUUGGGUGCUUCUUCAGCCAUGUGAGCCUAUUCUUGGGAAGGUGAUGCCCAUGCUAUGAGGACCAUGAAUCAGAAUAAUAGACUGGCUUAGACUGGGGCAUUAAAGAUCGUCAUUUCCAAUGCCCUGGUCCUGCUUGUUCAUCUAAAUAAGAGAGAGAUUCAUCUCAUCCAACUUUAGAUCCCUGGAUUCCUUCUACAGGUGAUAAGUAGGAAUAGUCCCUCCCAUCCAGGAUUCAACUGACUGAUGUUGGUGGCUAACUCUGGGUGGGAUGACUUGUGUCACUCUGAGCACAGAGGAAGACUCAACAGAUGUAGUCUGCUGUGGGUGAAAAGUCUAUGUUCAGGCAGAGGAAACCCCUGUGAUGUGACUUAGUGUCUUCCCAGUGAAUUCGCGUGGUAGGUCAUAGGGUAUCAUCAACCACUUACCAACCCAGACUAUAUUGGCUAUGUUCCUUCCCUGUUCUUAUCUUCUUUACA